rnacentral:rRNA from 1 species
AGAGUUUGAUCCUGGCUCAGAUUGAACGCUGGCGGCAUGCCUUACACAUGCAAGUCGAACGGCAGCACGGGGGCAACCCUGGUGGCGAGUGGCGAACGGGUGAGUAAUACAUCGGAACGUGCCCUGAAGUGGGGGAUAACGUAGCGAAAGUUACGCUAAUACCGCAUAUUCUGUGAGCAGGAAAGCAGGGGAUCGCAAGACCUUGUGCUUUAGGAGCGGCCGAUGUCGGAUUAGCUAGUUGGUGAGGUAAAGGCUCACCAAGGCAACGAUCCGUAGCGGGUCUGAGAGGAUGAUCCGCCACACUGGGACUGAGACACGGCCCAGACUCCUACGGGAGGCAGCAGUGGGGAAUUUUGGACAAUGGGCGCAAGCCUGAUCCAGCCAUGCCGCGUGAGUGAAGAAGGCCUUCGGGUUGUAAAGCUCUUUCGGCGGGGAAGAAAUCGCAUUCACUAAUACUGGAUGUGGAUGACGGUACCCGAAUAAGAAGCACCGGCUAACUACGUGCCAGCCGCCGCGGUAAUUC